AGACCGAUAGCGAACAAGUAGAGUGAUCGAAAGAUGAAAAGCACUUUGGAAAGAGAGUUAAAAAGCACGUGAAAUUGUUGAAAGGGAAGCGCUUACAACCAGACUUUGGGGCGGUGUUCCGCCGGUCUUCUGACCGGUCUACUCUCCGUCCCGAGGCCAACAUCAUCUGGGACCGCCGGACAAGACCUCAGGAAUGUAGCUCCCCCUCGGGGGAGUGUUAUAGCCUGUGGUGAUGCGGCGCGUCCCGGGUGAGGUCCGCGCUUCGGCAAGGAUGUUGGCGUAAUGGUUGUCAGCGGCCCGUCUUGAAACACGGACCAAG
rnacentral:rRNA from 1 species